CACGCACAGAGUGGUACAGGUUUUGCUCAAGAAUAUCCCUGUAUUAAGCACCAUCCAUCUUUCCCUUAACCCUGACCAGUUUCCCAGUCCCGGCUGCUGAAAAAUAUCCCCACAGCAUGAUGUUGCCACCACCAUGUUUCACUGUGCAGAUGGUGUUCUUUGGAUGAUGUGAUGUGUUGGGUUUGCGUCAGACAUAGCGUUUUCUUU